CAUAGUGUAGCUUAAUUAAAGCAUCCCGCUUACACCGAGAAAACAUCCGUGAAACUCCGAUUACUAUGA
rnacentral:tRNA from 1 species